AUGGGUGAUUUGGCUUGUGAUUCUGAAAGAGUGCUCAUGGAGGGUCACGGUGCCUCUUCUGUCUGCAAGGAUGACAUGGUUCUGCUAGAGGAGGCACUUCCUCCAGCUGGGCAGACUCCAGGUUCUUGUGUGGAGCUCCGUCAUAACCUGGAGGGAACUCAUAAACAAGCAAGGGAUGCUGGUUCUUUGGACACUGAAGUUGAUACCUCAGGUUCUCCCAGCUCAGGAAUAAAGAGAGGCAAAGGAGGUGAUGGAAACUCCCAUGCAAUCUCCAAUUACAGUGAACCAAAGUCCUCUUCACCUUAUGAGCGCUUGCCGUCCUUUCCGUCGACGUCAAGGCUUCUCGUCUCCGCUAUGAAAGGAGGCCGUGAGAGAAGCAGCGGUGAAGCAUCGCCAACUGGAGCCCGCCACGUGAAUUGGGCCUCAGAUGUAUAUGACCCCCCAGUCACCUCUGUCGACCACACGGUGAAGGGCCACCAGCAGCGCUCCAGGUCCAGGAAGAAGGACAAGGGCAAGCAGAAACAGAAGCAGAAGAAGAGGAAGUCGCGCGGGAACGGCAAGAAGAGCGGCCUCCACGAUGCCGCCCACAACCCGCCGGGUAAGACCACAGACAUUUCGUAUUACCACCUUCGGUUCCACGCUCCGGGAAUCAUGCGUGUGAAAUCAUCGUACGCUGACAGACAUUUUCUCCUCAGGCCAUCUUCGCCCGACGAACUAGGCUUAGGCGAAGUGGAGGAGGCCGAGGUGCUGGACUACAGCGCCUUCGACAGCCAGGAGCCCAAGUGCGGAGGCGGCUUCCCACACGAGAUCGCCGCGGCGCGGACGUGUUUCCCCGCUGCCGAGGCGUCAUGA
rnacentral:rRNA from 1 species